rnacentral:rRNA from 1 species
GACGAACGCUGGCGGCGUGCUUAACACAUGCAAGUCGAACGGAAAGGCCCUGCUUUUGUGGGGUGCUCGAGUGGCGAACGGGUGAGUAACACGUGAGUAACCUGCCCUUGACUUUGUGAUAACUUCAGGAAACUGCGGCUCAUACCGGAUAGGAGCUCCUGCUGCAUGGUGUGGGUUGGAAAGUUUCGGCGGUUGGGGAUGGACUCGCGGCUUAUCAGCUUGUUGGUGAGGUAGUGGCUUACCAAGGCUGUGACGGGUAGCCGGCCUGAGAGGGUGACCGGCCACAAUGGGACUGAGAUACGGACCAGACUCCUACGGGAGGCAGCAGGGGGGAAUAUUGCACAAUGGGCGGAAGCCUGAUGCAGCAACGCCGCGUGCGGGAUGACGGCCUUCGGGUUGUAAACCGCUUUCGCCUGUGACGAAGCGUGAGUGACGGUAAUGGGUAAAGAAGCACCGGCUAACUACGUG